rnacentral:lncRNA from 1 species
CUGGAAUAUAUUGCUCCCUCUGUGUGUCUAUGUCCCAGGCUUCUUUAUUUAAGAGCAGAGUGGAAACAGUGGGGAUUACAGUCAGGAGUAUGGCCGAACUUCACCUUCCCUCCAGCCAGUUCCCCCAAACUCUGGGUCCCCACCCCCUCUGUGUGGCCAAUUCCUUUCUUAGUGAAUGAAGAACUUAAUCCCUGAAGCCUGGGUACAAACCCCAAGGUUUUCUCCUAGCGCCUCCCUUUCCUCUGGCCCCCAUUCCUGAGAAGGGCAGGUACCGCAGUUUGAAUGCACGGGAGAGCCCAGAGUGUUGAUAGACGCAGCAAGAAAGGCUUCACUCUCAUGGAAAGAGGCCAAGGAGGCCAGUGUAGAGACAUGAGGAUACCCACAGCCUGGGGUAUUACCUGGGGCCUUGGUGCCAGAGGAAAGGAUACUGGUCCCCCCACCCGCCCCCGCCCAAGAAAGGAGGGGCCAGGAUCACAGUCCUCUCGCUGCAAAUAGUCACUGCUUGACCACUUGCCCUUCUGCUGCCAGCUGCAGAACCACACAAGGACCACGUCCUUCUCAAGCCUGAGCUGCUGGGUAAUGUCGGGGAUUCUGCUGCACUGUGGGUUUUAGGCACUUAUGUUGAGAUGGAUUCUGAGGCUAUAUUUAGGAUGAGCAGGAAGAAAUGCUGUUAUUAAUGAUACCCUCGUGUGUGUGUGUGUGUGUGUGUGUGUGUGUGUGUGUGUCUUUUUUCAGUGCCACACCUGAAGCAUAUGGAGGUUCCCAGGCUAGGGGUCUAAUCAGAACUACAGCUGCCAGUCUACACCACAGCUCAUGGCAACACUGGAUCCUUAACCCACUGAGUGAGGUUAGGGAUCGAACCUGCAACCUCAUGGUUCCUAGUUGGAUUUGUUUCUGCUGUGCCAUGACAGGAACUCCAGCUUUUAAAUAAAAAUGGAGGAGUUCCCUGGUGGCUGAGUGGGUUAAGAAUCCAUCAUUGUCACUGCUGUGGCUCCAGUUCAAUCCCUGGCCGAGGAACUUCUGCAUGUCAGGGGUACGGCCGAAAAAAGGUAAUUUUAAAAUAUUUAUCUUAAAGAACAACAUCAUAUAUUAACACAACUACCACAUUUAAAUGAAAGAAACUAUCUUUACAAAACAAAAAAAAAAUUAUUGUUUUACCUUCUCAGAUCUCUUUGUGGACUGAUUUAAUAGAAUUGAAACGGAUUCUCAUAUCUGCUUAUUUAUUUUUUAUUUAUUAUGGCCUCACCCACAGCAUAGAAAGUUCCUGGGCCAGGGACUGAAUCCUAGCUGCAGCUGUGGCAACUCUGGAUCCUUUAACCUACUGUGCUGGGUUAGGGAUUGAACCUGCACCUCUGCAGCGACCUGAGCCACUGCAGUCAUAUUCUUAACCCACCACAGUGGGAAUUCCCAUAUGCACCUUUUUAUGCAAUUUGUUGCAGUAUCUUGUUUUGGUGGAAAUAUAUGAACAUGAUGUUGUUGGAAAAGAGAGGGAGUAUUUCCAUAGCCUUUCCAAAAAAUUGUGUUUAUUUUCUGAUACUACACU